rnacentral:misc_RNA from 1 species
CUGCGGCAAGCGAGGAGCAAGCUCUGCUCCAGCAUUUCGAGCCUUUGGGGCGUCGGGUCCUCUCUUUGUUUUCUUCGUUACAGUACCUCGCCAUCCCGCACACGCACCCCACCUCAUCCGCGGCAGGGGCAACCGCGAUGGCGUAUGCCCGCAAUACUAGCGGAAGAAACUGAAAGCGGUGACGGGCAGUCGCCGCUGCAGCGUGCCAGGCGAGCUGCCACCCCUGAUGAGAGCCGCAUCGAUGCAGCAUUGUCGGCAGUGCACAUGCGGUCGACCAGGGAGCCGAGGCGAUGCAAACCUUGUUCGAUCGCCGCAGCAGCGCUUGAGCGCCUGAGCGCAAGCACCGAAGGCGAUUUUAUGGCCACCGACCCCGCUCUCUCCUCGCCACCCACGGCGCUAAGCUCUUUCAAUUCUUCCUCUACGACAGCAUCGGCGCAGAGCACCCCGGCAGCUCAAAAUCGAGGCGCCCUCGCUGCACAAGACACACACGCUGCGCUCUCUAGCGAGCCUCGCUGGGAAUACGGGCUUACGAAAAAAUGUGUGCUCACCCUGACAAUCAAGCCGGUGAGUUGCCUCGCUAUGGUUCGCAUAACGACGCCGCUGCAUCCGGAGGCAUCGUCACCGCUGCCACAGCGCGAACUGAAAUCGUCCACUGACAGAGAGCUGUGCUCCGUUACGUACAACCAACGCAAAGGCGCGAAGAUGGAUAUCAGUGAUACGCCAAGGGGGCAGAAGCGGCUCCGUGGGUCGGAAUACUCGAAGGAGGACAUCUACCGACUGCGAAUCAAACCAGUGAGGAAUUUCUCCAUAUGUCGCGUGCUCGAAGCGGGCGGUAGUGCUCCAGCCGGGGAGGCGCAGCGCCACAGUGAACUGCUAUCAUCCUCCCCUGCCGUUGCGCCUUGCUUCACCGAGAUCACUCAGCGCAGCGGUGCAACGACGGCCAACGCCGACGAUGCAAGAAAGGUGGAUCGGGGCCGAGCGCACCAUUACGCGAAGGCGGACAUCAUGUCCCUGCGACUGAAGCCACUCAAGGGCUACGCCGUGUACCGAGUGUCCUAGCCUUGCACAUUUCGCAUGUGUCAUCUGACACUAUAACUGGCGGCGACGGAGACUGAGUGUCCUCUCCAUGAGUGGGGCGAGGGGGGCGAGUCAAGCACAAAAUGGAAGCUACCGUUCCUACGGCGUUUGUCUGUGCGAUGACGAUGGGUCGUUUUUGUUGUGUGCAGACAGCAACGACACCCUGUCCAGCCUCACACCAAACUGAAAGAGCAGCAGAGGGGCGAAAAGAUCAUCGAGGGAAUAAGAGUGUCGUUCAUGUGUUGAGGAGAUAGACAUACUUCAUGCCGCACACACCUCUUG